rnacentral:rRNA from 1 species
GAUGAACGCUGGCGGCGUGCCUAGCACAUGCAAGUCGAGCGAACCCUUCGGGGUGAGCGGCGGACGGGUGAGUAACGCGUGGGUAACCUGCCCUGUACACACGGAUAACAUACCGAAAGGUAUGCUAAUACGGGAUAACAUAAGAAAAUCGCAUGGUUUUCUUAUCAAAGCUCCGGCGGUACAGGAUGGACCCGCGUCUGAUUAGCUAGUUGGUAAGGUAAUGGCUUACCAAGGCGACGAUCAGUAGCCGACCUGAGAGGGUGAUCGGCCACAUGGGAACUGAUACACGGUCCAAACUCCUACGGGAGGCAGCAGUGGGGAAUAUUGCACAAUGGGCGAAAGCCUGAUGCAGCAACGCCGCGUGAGCGAUGAAGGCCUUCGGGUCGUAAAGCUCUGUCCUCAAGGAAGAUAAUGACGGUACUUGAGGAGGAAGCCCCGGCUAACUACGUGCCAGCAGCCGCCGUAAUAC